AACGAAUUCGCCCUUAGAGUUUGAUCCUGGCUCAGGAUAAACGCUGGCGGCGUGCUUCAGGCAUGCAAGUCGAACGGACCUUCGGGUCAGUGGCGGACGGGUGAGUAACACGUAAGCAACCUGCCCAGAAGUGGGGAAUAACCCACCGAAAGGUGAGCUAAUACCGCAUGUGAUGGAUCUUCCCUGGAGGGUUCAUUAAAGGCUUCGGUCGCUUCUGGAGGGGCUUGCGUUCGAUUAGCUAGUUGGUGGGGUAAUGGCCUACCAAGGCUGCGAUCGAUAGCUGGUCUGAGAGGACGGACAGCCACACGGGGACUGAGAUACGGCCCCGACUCCUACGGGAGGCAGCAGCUAGGAAUCUUGGGAAUGGGCGAAAGCCUGACCCAGCAACGCCGCGUGGGCGAUGAAGGCCUUCGGGUCGUAAAGCCCUUUUGAGGGGGACGAUGAUGACGGUACCCCUCGAAUAAGCCACGGCUAACUACGUGCCAGCAGCCGCGGUAAUACGUAGGUGGCAAGCGUUGUCCGGAUUUACUGGGCGUAAAGGGCGUGCAGGCGGUUUGUCUAGUCUAGGGUGAAAGCCCCCGGCUUAACUGGGGGAGGUCCUUGGAUACUGGCAAACUUGAGGGAGGCAGAGGAAAGUGGAAUUCCCGGUGUAGUGGUGAUAUGCGUAGAUAUCGGGAGGAACACCAGUGGCGAAGGCGGCUUUCUGGGCCUUACCUGACGCUGAGACGCGAAAGCGUGGGGAGCGAACCGGAUUAGAUACCCGGGUAGUCCACGCCGUAAACUAUGGACACUAGGUGUGG
rnacentral:rRNA from 1 species